CAAAGUCAAAUCGAUCUAUCUUCACCGAUCUCUCUUUACCCAUCCCAGUUCGAACACUUUACUUCUCCCUUCUGCUUGGCCGCCGCCGCCUCGCCCCUCCUCCCCUUAUUUCCACCAUCAGUUCUGAAGAAUGAUUUUUUGUUGUUCUGGAUCCAUGCUAAUCGGAGGAAGAAGCAAGCCACAGGGAGAGAUUAUGUAUGACGGCUUGGAUCCGUAAGAUCCCCAAAUCCAACUUCCCACUCCAAUCCCAAUCCCAGUCUCAACCUAAUCGUGGAAUUGAAUUGAAGGCAGGCACAUAGCACCAACAUCAGAUCAGAAACACAGAGAAGCAACAGAGGUAAAUUUGACACAAACUACUUUGUUAGCUAUACUAUCUGUUACAAGUCAAAUUACUCAGUCAUAGAAAACAAAACAAAAAAACCUAAUCCCAAUAUGCAUCACUCUCCUGUCUCUCUCUGCGCCUCCUUCCAGCUCUCCUCUAUCAGUCUUUCGUGCUCCGACCUCUUCACAAGUUUUCCGCACCACUUCGAUCCCCACGGUAGUCGCCUCAUAGGCGCAAACUCCCAGGUCCUGCUUUUCCGAUCAAAUUUACCAGUUAGUGGGAUUCACAAACAUACAUUGUAUGAAAAUAAUUUAAUUCAUGUAGGAGAGUUUUCUACUUACUCUCUUGGAAGCAGAACCCACGCCCCCAAACUCUCGAUCCCUAGCACGUCUUUCCCCUUCUCGACGAGGAUAUUGCCAUCCUCCCUGCCCUCUUUGCCGUAUGAAUCCCGUAGCAUCCAGAAUCGCUGACCAUCAUCGGUCACUCCGUGACCGAUGAGAACUAAGGCAUGGAGGCCCCAUCCAACACCGCAAUAACUGCAAUGAACGCUAACAACCUGUCUAAAAUGGGGACACUCGGAACUGGUGCAUAUGUGCUCAGGGACCUCUUGCGGUCCUACAAUCAUCCCCUACAAUGCAGAAAAGGUGUUUUGAUUAGAAUUUUUAUUUCUCGAAACCUUUAAAAAAGAGAGGUUUGCCCAACUCACUCUUGUAUCAGAGUCAAAUACAGGGUGGGAUGCUAUAGUGACAGCAAUCGGAUGCUUGUCUAGCAUCCUCUCCAUCUCGCGCUCCCCUUGAAUACGGUGACAUAAUCCAAAGUAUAUCCACUGGCUAAUAUGCUAAAAAUGAGAAAUAGUUACACGGUGAGUAUCUUUGUGUUUAAACUAUAGAAAACAAGAUUUCUAGUCCUUAAAAAUAAUUACUUUUAGAUCAAUUCCUUAAUUAAGAUUAAAAACUAGUUUAGUCCUUUGAUUCGUGUUUGAGUUAGCAUUUACAUUCCAUGUCAUAUUUAAUUUGUUUUAUGUAACUUUACUGUGUUUUGUCUUCCUAUAUUACACCAAAAUAUUGCUAUUAAAUGGUUUCUCAAUUAAACGGAUUUAAAAAAAAAUUCUAAAUCAGCAUCCGACAUUUAAAGAUGCAACAUCAAAAGGACUUAGAGAUUAGGCUUCUGCAUUUGAAAAAGAGAUUAGGCAACCAUCUAUAUAUUGGUUGAUAUCUUAACAUACAUUUCGGUUGUCCGUUUUUUAUUUGCAUUUUAGGUCUCUUUAUGUUCUUUCUAUUGGUUUUGGACGACAUAUGACAUGUGUAUCUAGGUGAUUCUAACGAUUUUUGAAGAAUGUGUUCAACCUUAGUAAUAAUUCGUGCAUUGUGCUUGUGGUAUUUAUUCUUAUUUUAUUGCGUUUGUGGUUAAUUUGUUUUGGUUGCUUUUAUUAUUGGAUUUGAUCAUUUUGUUAGCGUAUGAAUUGUUGAGUUUGGAGUUGGGUUUGCUCAUUUAUGUAUUAGAUGUAUGUGAUUAGGUACUAUAACUUGGAUACAUUCGAUUAGGUAUUAUGAUUUAGAUACAUUUGAUUCGAUAAUAUGAUUUGGUGUGUUCAACGGGUACUAUGAUUUAUGUGUGUUCUAAUAGGUAUUGUAAUUUAGGUUUAAGGAGGUACUGUAAUUUAGAUACAUAUACUAAUUUGGUGUAUUAUACGUGUUAUACUUUGCCUUUUUUAUCUUGUAAUUUAUGCAUGAUUACAUGAAAAAUCUUCUAGGUACAAUAAUCAUGGAAGAAAUCAAGCAUAAAUCAAGUCAAAACUAGUUCCUAGUAAUGUGGAACAUACCAAGAAAGUUUGAAUAAUUAAUUACAGGGGCACAAUGGGAAUUAAAAGUCAUUAAUUUUUUUUAAAAACAAUGGAAUAUGAGUUAUCAUAAUCAUGAUGAUGUGGAGGAUUAAGAUUAAAUAUCUUAUCGAGCACUAGGUUUUGAUGAAAAAUUAAUCUAAUUCAAGUAUUACAAUUCAUUUACCCAAACAAGUUAGGCAUAUUUUAAGCUAAUUUAACCAAUGAAAAUCUGACCUUUUUUCGCUUCCCCAUAUACGGCCAAUCUUUCUCGAGUAUAGCACCACUAGUGUUCAUCAGGCGAAAAGACAUCAUCAAAUUAUAACCUCGAUCCCUGGAAACUCUAAAACGGCGCGCGAUACUCUGCGGAGAGAGCAUAACUCGUCUCCGCGUCUCUAAAGCGUAUAGCGCCUCGGCGCAUACGCAUGUGGAUAUUGCCCAACAAUGGGAACUAUCCCCUUGGUCGCGGAUAGGACCCAUGAUGGGCCUCCAGUCCACAAUAUAAUCUCUAUCAUUGUCCUGCAAAAAUCCAUUUUGGUGUCCACACAAUCAGACUUAAUAAUACAUCUCCAUACGUACACAUUGGUUGGUAAAAGUCUAUGCACACAUACAUAAAAAUAUAUCUCAUGUUUAUUUUUUAUCAUGUAUGCACAUUGUUUCUUUGAGAUUGUGCCUUUUCGGUCAUGUAUGCUCUUUGUUUCUUUGAUUAAUCUAAUUCAUCUAACGAUAAUCAAUAUAGUUUGAUUGGGACCAUCACCUUCACCUAAAUGAUUGUAAUUUUCAAUUCAUUUCUAUAUUAGUGUUCCUUUGGAAAGAGAGAUUCCCUUUUGAAAUCAUUUCACUCGACCUAGUGGAGUCACUUGGCCAAUUAGUGCUUGCUUUGCCACGUGCUCAAAAAGUGAGUUACCCAUCCAAUGAGGGGUUGCCACGCGUGUGAAAUGGUUGCAAGAGAAAAUCUCCCUCUCCUUUAGGAGGUUUAGGGUUUGUGAAGACCGUUCAAUGCCAAGUUUGAAGAUCAAUUCAUGAACACCUAGUAAAGGGUACAAUGUAUACAUGGACAUAAUAAGUAAAAUGAUUGGGGGAAAUUAGCAACAAGAAAAUAAUGCACUUGUACAUUUCGGUCUAGUGUAACCUAGUAUUCAAUACAUUGAUAAGGUAGGCGAACUUGGUUGUUGGGAGAGAGAAGCUAAUAAGGGGGCGUUUGUUUGAGCUCGCUAGCUUUCACUGGCUUAGACUGGACUAUGUAGUAGUCCAAUCCCGUGUUUGUUAACAGUCCGGACUAAGUUUAAUGAGAUUAGAAGGGACUCGCGGGGACUAACUCCCUCGCUAGCAAACCCUUCGAGAACCAUGGGAUUAGCGGGGACUAACUCCCUCUCGUCUUCCUCUGCUCCUAUGUUUUCACAAACGCCGAGAGCCACCAUCAUUCCCCCUCGCCAAUUCCCCCUUCCCUUCCUCCUCUCUCUUCGCUUUCUUCUCUUUUUGCUCCGUCGAGAUCCAAGCUCGGCUCGAACUCGGCUGCCACAGCGACAGUUGCUCCAUCCUCUUCAUGCUGCAAAUUUGCUUCUCUGACCACCUGUACCCAGACCUGAAACCCACCACCUAAUUCUCAACAUCCAACCACCAAAAUUUGAAAAGAAAAAAAAAAUCAAUUCGAUAACAACAAAAAAAAACUCAAUAGAAAAAUUCUUCAUUUUUCCCAAAAAAUUAAGAGAUUUUCUGAGAAAAUCAAAGGAGGGUCGAGAAACAAAGUGGUUGUGAAAUCCAUGACGCCGCAGAGAGGAGCUUCUACACGAUUUCAAUUUUCCGUGGGAUUUGACGUUGGGAAAUCAGAAUAUGUGGUGCCAUAAAUAAUUUAGAGGGUGAUGAAUGAUGAUGUUUUGAGGGAGGAGAGACUGGAAAGGAAAAGAAAAGACGAAGAAAGGGAGAGGGUCGGAGCAACAUUAAGAAGAAAAAGGAAGAUCACAGGAAAAAAAAAUUGGGAAUGGAGAUGGGAGUUUCCGGAAUGAUAAAAGAAAUAGAUAAUGGUAGUACUAAAUAUGUAUUAAAUAAUAUAAAAUAUUAAUAAAAUAUGAAUGAGAAAAUAUAAUAUUAGAAUUUGUUGUUAUCCUAUUUUUUAGUCUGACACUGCACCAAACGCUUCACUAAGUCAGUCCAACUUUGUCUAGUCUAAACCAGUCCAGCUUAGUCCCUGAAGUUAGUCCAGUCCUAGAUAGUCCGGUACAACAAACACACCCUAAGAGUCCUAGUAGCGCCACUUGUAUUCCUAAGAUCCUCUGGGCCCGAGCCUAGUAACGAGGAUUAUUGACUGAAUUAGUAGUCAUCGACUGCCUCCAAUUUUAAGAACGAUGUGUUCUAUGGUGUCAUGGUGUCAAGCGGGAGAGAAGGGAUUUCAAGACUUUGAAUGAAAUCACCCUCACAGAGCAUCUGCCUAGCCUCGACAACUCUCACAAAAUGGAGUCUGGCAUUCUAAUAGAAAAAGAAGUGAAGAACAUUAGAGAAACGGGCAGGAGCCAUGGGAUGAUCCAUAGAACAAGGAGAUGGACGGCCGAGGAGUAGAUUGUUCAUAGAAUAAGGGGAUGGACGGCCAAGGAUGCUUACGCCGUAGCUUCGGCCCUAUACAAAUUGUAACGAGAAGUGUUACAACCACACAAAAAGGACAAUCCUUGCACAAAACCUAAAACCACUAAGACAUCUAGCUAGUAGUAGUUAAAACAGAUAGACGAACACGGUAUGUACACAGAUGUAAAUAUACAUGUAGUAUGUUCAUCGGGUUCAAAAUGUGAUACCUGCAUGAGCAAAGAUUUGGUCGAAUGAGGACUUUUUUCGCGGUGGCAGAGAGAGCUUGAGGUUGAGCCAUUGUGGUGGUAGAUGGCAGCAGUACCAAAUCGAAAACCCUUGACCAAGUUUGCAACAGCCUUUCUAUUGGUGUUAAGACAACAGGAUGGCUUACUCCACAUUUUUACCAAACUCUGUAUAUAAAUAAAUUAGAUUUUGGGUCAUCAUCAUCACAAUCAUCACGAUCAUAUCAAAAAACCAACUCAUUUUUCGGUAAUCGCAAUCAUCGUCAUGUUGAUAAUAUAAUGCGGAAGUUGAACCCCUAAAUCCCAAUACAAGAAGCAAGUAAUAAACAACGAAAUCGGGACGGUGGACUUCCAAUUCCCAAGAGAUUUGACGUCCAUGGAUUGCAUUUGCAAGCCGGGCUUUUUGUGAUCCAUUUGUUCUAACAGUGAGCUAAAUAAAUAGGUAGCAGACCGGCCAAACUUGCAAAGAAAUCCAACAAAACGUAAAGAGAAGAAAAUUCAAGCAACUAAAAGUAGAAACCCUAGAUCCCAAAUCUAGCCCAAUUUUUCUUCAAAGAAAUCCAAACGGUACUACAAGGCAUGGAUCCAUAUACGUCGCACAAAAUAACUAGUAAAAAUCAACUACAUUGUCAUUGAUUGAGUCGGUGAAUUGAAAUUGCUUACUCACCCAAGAGAGAAGACGAGAUCGGAGACCCGCUGUGAAUUUUUUCUCUCUGAAUUUUCCUUCAGCUGUCGACUGCUUGCCGCAUCUUCCAUCUUUCCGGUUGUUUUUGCAUUUAUUGUACUUUGUUGAGCUUCCUACUGCCGUUGGAUGAAACCCCGAUCAGAUCCUUUGGGCUACAUUUCCAUCUAACGGUGCACCUAGAGGCUGGAGCCUUAAUGUUAACUAAUAAGUUUUUUAGAAAAUUAAGGGUCUCAUUAGAUUUUAGUCUUAACGAAAACACAUUUAGUGGGAUUUUUCCAGAUUUUUCAAGGCCAUGAGAUACCUACCCCCUGGAGCAAUUCUACACUAAGGUAAUUACUGCUUUAGUGAACAAUAACCGCAUGACUGCAUCUCCACCUCAGAAAUCAAUGCCCCAAGCAACUGAGCAAGUGCAUCAAAGAUUAGUUUUUUUUUUCCCCUAAAAAAAUUAAUAAAAGAAUAUUAUGAUUAAUUUCCGAUAGGAUAUUUAAAAAAAUCCGUCGCGCCAUGUAUUUUUUUAAUUGUAAAUAUUUUUUUUGGCUAAAUUUAUAUUGGUUGUUAGAUUAUUUAAAUUUUGUGACCAAUUUGUGCCACAUGGCACGUCAAUCAUUUUCGUUUUUUUUUAAUUUUAUAAACUCAAAAACUGAAUUAUUAUGAUAGUCCGAUUAUAUGACCAUUGGAAAUCUAGGGGUCUAAAUCUCCCACGUUAUAAAGCAUCUGCAUUGCAGGUCUCACUGAAAUUUUGUCCCUCGACGCGCCACCACGCGCACGUGUAAUACACGUGCUGAGCACAAAAAAAUUUCAACUUGAUUGGCGCCAGGUUGACGUCACACCAACUCAGGCCCUCACUCGAGCCAUUCUUGCUCGACUGCCCAAGGGUGUUGGGCUAGCCUGACUUGUUUGGUUUGGGGUGAAGGGGAUUUUGCGGGUUUUGGGGGGUUCAUUCACGCACUUGCACGAGGGGUGUACUUGGUCUUACUAGGCUGAUUUCAACGUUAGAAAAUUCAAUUUUAUGGUAUUUAUGUCGUGCAAAAUAUUAGAGAGAGAGAGAGAGAGAGAGAGAGAGACAACGGCAGGAAAGGGGGUGGUUAUCAUUGGCCGACACCACCAACAGGGAAGGUGGCGUAGGAUGAGUGCUUAAGAUAAGGUGUUAGAACUUUUCAUUUCUAAGUGAGGUUUUAGGUUCGAUUAUCAUCAAAAACGAAUUUGAAUUACAUUAUUGUUAUCUCAUUAUGAGGUUAAACUCAUCCCCUCCCGUGUAGAUAACAACAAUAGAAGCCCUAAAAUUGGAAUUUUCAAAGAAUAAUUUUGAAUUUAGGGCGUAUUCAUAAGA